ACCUUACUCACCGAAUCUCUCCUCUGCAAAUGCAGGACGAGGUCCUCCAUAUGCGGAAGUGAGAUUCGAUGAGUCAGGU